UGUGAGAGAGAGAGAGAGAGAGAGAGAGAGAGCGCAAUUCUUAAUUGUCAAUAUAAAGAUUCAGUUAUAUAUAUGUAAGGUUCCUUCCAUGGUAUAUAUUUGUAAUAUUAAAUUAAAAAAAGAAUCCUCUCAAAUUACCUGUCAAUUCUUGCCUGUAGUUCAUGAAUCUUGUCCUUAUUAUCAAUGAAGGUCAAAAAAAAGGUAGCUCACA
rnacentral:lncRNA from 1 species